rnacentral:rRNA from 1 species
AACGAACGCUGGCGGCAGGCCUAACACAUGCAAGUCGAGCGGACCCUUCGGGGUUAGCGGCGGACGGGUGAGUAACGCGUGGGAAUAUGCCCUUCUCUACGGAAUAGUCCUGGGAAACUGGGGGUAAUACCGUAUACGCCCUUUGGGGGAAAGAUUUAUCGGGGAAGGAUUAGCCCGCGUUGGAUUAGGUAGUUGGUGGGGUAAUGGCCUACCAAGCCGACGAUCCAUAGCUGGUUUGAGAGGAUGAUCAGCCACACUGGGACUGAGACACGGCCCAGACUCCUACGGGAGGCAGCAGUGGGGAAUCUUAGACAAUGGGGGCAACCCUGAUCUAGCCAGGCCGCGUGAGUGAUGAAGGCCUUAGGGUUGUAAAGCUCUUUCAACUGGGAAGAUAAUGACGGUACCAGCAGAAGAAGCCCCGGCUAACUCCGUG